rnacentral:rRNA from 1 species
UACGUAGGUGGCAAGCGUUGUCCGGAUUUACUGGGCGUAAAGAGCGCGCAGGCGGUCGUUCAAGUCGCGUGUGAAAGCCCCCGGCUCAACUGGGGAGGGUCACGCGAUACUGAUCGACUGGAAGGCAGGAGAGGGUAGUGGAAUUCCCGGUGUAGUCGGUGGAAUGCGUAGAUAUCGGGAGGAACACCAGUGGCGAAGGCGGUUGCCUGGGGCUUUGCUGACGCUGAGGCGCGAAGCGAUGGGGAG